GACGAACGCUGGCGGCGUGCUUAACACAUGCAAGUCGAGCGGAAAGGCUCCUUCGGGGGUACUCGAGCGGCGAACGGGUGAGUAGCACGUGAGUAAUCUGCCCUGGACUCUGGGAUAGCCACCGGAAACGGUGAUUAAUACCGGAUAUGACCAGCUUCCGCAUGGUGGUUGGUGGAAAGUUUUUUCGGUCCAGGAUGUGCUCGCGGCCUAUCAGCUUGUUGGUGAGGUAAUGGCUCACCAAGGCUUUGACGGGUAGCCGGCCUGAGAGGGUGACCGGUCACACUGGGACUGAGACACGGCCCAGACUCCUACGGGAGGCAGCAGUGGGGAAUAUUGGACAAUGGGCGGAAGCCUGAUCCAGCAACGCCGCGUGAGGGAUGACGGCCUUCGGGUUGUAAGCCUCUUUCAGUACCGACGAAGCGAAAGUGACGGUAGGUACAGAAGAAGGACCGGCCAACUACGUGCCAGCCGCCGCAGUAAAAC
rnacentral:rRNA from 1 species